rnacentral:ncRNA from 2 species
UAUAAAUAAUGAAAUUUUACCCGUAUAUGCUUGAAAAUAAGGUUCAAGCGUUUCUACCGGACUACCGUAAAUUGUCUGACUAUGGGUGUUUAUAGGUACUUG